rnacentral:rRNA from 1 species
GCCNGAAGAGGAAAGNGGAAUUCCCUGNUAGCNGNNGAAAUGNCGUAGAGAUAUGGAGGAACNCCAGUGGGGAAGGGGGACUUUNUGGUCUGUAACUGACNANGAGGCGCGRAAAGCGUGGGGAGCAAACAGGGAUUAGAUACCNUGGUAGUCCACGCCGUAAAACGAUGAGUGCUAAGUGUUAGAGGGUUUCCCGCCCUUUAGUGCUGAAGUUAACGCAUUAAGCACUCCGCCUGGGGAGUACGGCCGCAAGGCUGAAACUCAAAGGAAUUGACGGGGGCCCGCACAAGCGGUGGAGCAUGUGGUUUAAUUNGAAGCAACGCGAAGAACCUUACCAGGUCUUGACAUCCUCUGAAAACCCUAGAGAUAGGGCUUCUCCUUCGGGAGCAGAGUGACAGGUGGUGCAUGGUUGUCGUCAGCUCGUGUCGUGAGAUGUUGGGUUAAGUCCCGCAACGAGCGCAACCCUUGAUCUUAGUUGCCAUCAUUAAGUUGGGCACUCUAAGGUGACUGCCGGUGACAAACCGGAGGAAGGUGGGGAUGACGUCAAAUCAUCAUGCCCCUUAUGACCUGGGCUACACACGUGCUACAAUGGACGGUACAAAGAGCUGCAAGACCGCGAGGUGGAGCUAAUCUCAUAAAACCGUUCUCAGUUCGGAUUGUAGGCUGCAACUCGCCUACAUGAAGCUGGAAUCGCUAGUAAUCGCGGAUCAGCAUGCCGCGGUGAAUACGUUCCCGGGCCUUGUACACACCGCCCGUCACACCACGAGAGUUUGUAACACCCGAAGUCGGUGGGGUAACCUUUUUGGAGCCAGCCGCCUAAGGUGGGACAGAUGAUGGGGUGAAGUCGUAACAAGGUAGCC